GGUGGGGAUUAACUCGACAUUUCCACUAUGUCCCAGAAAUAUUAGCUGCAUUUUUCUGGACUGUUCCAGCUCUUUUUAACCACGCUUUACCCUACUUUUAUGUGGUUUUUCUUACAAUCCUUCUCCUCGACCGGGCGAAAAGGGAUGAUGAUCGGUGCCGAUCCAAGUAUGGAAAAUACUGGAAAUCGUACUGCGAGAAGGUUCAGUACAGGGUCAUCCCCGGAAUUUACUGAGAAAAUGUUGCACAAGUGUUUGUUCUAUGUUGAGAAUGGCAUGUAUAUUCAGCCUUUCCAAAUUAAAUGAUGGCAGGCUGGUAUCAUGUUGUUGUUAUUGUUGUUUUUGUAAUGGUCAACUUUAUGGAUGUUGUAUUUCUCUCAUCUUCAAUGACCAAAAACUUUUCUUGUUUAGGAAAAUUACUAUAAAGUUUUGUUUCUAUUUUUCAUUUUUGAAGUAAAAAUUGUUCAAGAUUAUAAAA